rnacentral:rRNA from 1 species
UACGUAGGGUCCGAGCGUUGUCCGGAAUUAUUGGGCGUAAAGGGCUCGUAGGCGGUUUGUCGCGUCGGGAGUGAAAACCAGAGGCUUAACUUCUGGCUUGCUUUCGAUACGGGCAGACUUGAGGCAUGCAGGGGAGAACGGAAUUCCUGGUGUAGCGGUGAAAUGCGCAGAUAUCAGGAGGAACACCGGUGGCGAAGGCGGUUCUCUGGGCAUGUUCUGACGCUGAGAAGCGAAAGCAUGGGGAGCGAACAGG